rnacentral:lncRNA from 1 species
UUAUGUCCCACCGAAUUUCGCCGGUGUUUGACGUAUCCUGUAAGGCGCUCACGACAGUCUCUGCCUUUCAUCCGCUCGCGCGUCAUUAUUUAAACUUCUCGGCGAAGACGGGAAGUGGCGGCACGCGAAGUGAAGAAUUGGAGAAACCGAGAAAAGGCAUUAGCACUCGUCGAUGCGGCUUGUAUUGCGUCCAAGUCGCGACGUUAACGCUUUGCCGUCAAUUUGUUUCGCGUGUGUCGAAGAAACGUUUGAACAUCCUGCGGACCACCCGAGACGAGAGAUAUUCUUUAGCGAAUUUUAUCACGCAUUGUGGCAAUAGAAAAUCGGUGAGGUGUAACCUUUCAUGCGUAUUUACCGAUAUAUUUAUAAUUAUUUAUAUUUAUUUAAAGGUAGCAAAUGUUUUAAAUUUUACAUAUUAGAGAAUUUUGUUCAGUUUAUUAUUCUACAUAUUCGCUUGCAUUUACUUAUAAACGUUUUGAAAGAUUGCCUCUGUUUUUAAAGGAAUCUGAGACAAGUAAGAUUUUUUGCAAUCUUCGGCGCCGAGAAAGAAUCUCUGUUUCCCUUUCUCGGAGACAAAUCCUUGCAGUGGCGGCUCGACGUUCCGGAAGCAAUCUCGUUUGACAGCUCACUGUCGCCUUCGCGCGACAAUUCGAUAUGUACACACACGUACAGACCGCGUUAUACGGAGCAUAUCAAACCUCGCAGAAAUUGAAUCAGCGGCGGUCGGAGGAAUCCGUAAACGGAAACGUGAACGCGAAUCAACGGUGCACUCGGUGCUUCUCUCGCCGGCGCGCGACGCUUCGUUGCUAAAGAUAAUAUCGUUCCGUACGACAAAUUGGCACGUAUCGUGGCGUAAAGAGGUGCCCGCCCGUCUGCAUUACGUAUAUAUUUUGAAAAUUUCGGCAGACAUGUAUUUUCAGAUAAUCAAAUAGCGCUUUCAAUAAAUUCCUACGUAUAAAAUUAUACGUUAAAAUUACAUAAAUUGUCAUUUAACACAUAUUAAAAGAAAAUUAGGUAUUCAUUUAAACUAUGUUUCCUCGCAAAUCUGCGGAUAAAUUAAAUUGAAUUGGAUUAUCUGAAUAAAUUUAAAUGCAUUCAAUGUCAUGCAUUAAAUGACAUAUCAAAAGAGAAGACUCGUAUAGAAUUAAAUGUUAAACAUCAUCAAAUAUUAAUAUGUAAUGUUACAUACAAGUAAAAGUACGUUUAUAAUGAUAUCUCACCACAUACGAAAAAUCUGUAUACUGUAAGCGUAUUAUUAUUCCUUGAUCGAACAUAACUGUUUCUUCAGCUGAAUAAUUUCGAUAUUAGUUUUAUUCUUGAAAUCUACUAAAUUAAUACGAUAAUCGAUUCUGUGUCCCACUGACAGUCAGGUGUGAGAUAUAAACGAUUCUGAAUGUCAGAACACCUUGUAUAUUAAUAGCCUCGCUUGUGCACGCUGUGUCAAAUUGGAGGGAGACUAAUGUAAAGUGCAUCGCGCCCAGGGAAGAGAAAUGAUCGAAGGGGCCAGUAUCCGAAAGGCGAUUUAAAGGCACUCUUGAAUGCCGCCCGCGUUCACGCAUAUGUGCACGACGCUUUUUUCACCGAUAAAUAAUUUUAGUCUGGGCGUUACCAGAUCCCGCUGAUUUCUCGAGAAGCUACCUCGAGGGAGCGAAAUGGAUACUCGGAUAAAGCUAACGAAGAUGAUCGUACGAAAUAUGAUGGCGAUUCGUCGAGGAUUGAGAAAAACAGCGAGCAUUUAGUGAAGAGGAAGGGUUAGAACAAGAAGCGGCAGAAGAAGAACGUGAAUAGAAAACAGCAGCAGCUUUGGCAUAAUCAAUAUCUGCUCAUGUUUUAAAUAUUCAAAUAAUAAAAAACUAACAUUCAAUAAAAUUUAGAUAAACGA